GGAGUCUCCUACCGUGGCAGCGGGCUCGCCCGCUACCCGACGAUCACGGCCCCCCUCACGGGGGGUACCCCCCACCCUUGUGUAUUAUACCUUUGUUGCUUUGGCGGGCCGCGUCAAGCCACCGGCUCACGCUGGUGAGCGCCCGCCAGAGGCCCCAACUCUUGAUUUUAUGAUGUCUGAGUACUAUAUAAUAGUUAAAACUUUCAACAACGGAUCUCUUGGUUCUGGCAUCGAUGAAGAACGCAGCGAAAUGCGAUAAGUAAUGUGAAUUGCAGAAUUCAGUGAAUCAUCGAAUCUUUGAACGCACAUUGCGCCCCGUGGUAUUCCGCGGGGCAUGCCUGUUCGAGCGUCAUUAUGACCAACAUCACGCCUGGCGUGGUCUUGGGGCUGGCAACUCUGCCGCCCUCAAACGCAGUGGCAGCGCCGCAUGGCUCUUAGCGUAGUAAUACUCCUCGCUAUAGGGUCCUACGGUUGCCCGCCAGCAACCCCCAAUCUUUACAGGUUGACCUCGGAUCAGGUA
rnacentral:rRNA from 1 species